GGAUCCAGACUUUGAUCCUGGCUCAUGACGAACGCUGGCGGCGUGCCUAACACAUGCAAGUCGAACGGAGUGUUGCGCUGAAAUUGAGAUUAGCUUGCUAAAGGAAAUUUCUUGUAACACUUAGUGGCGGACGGGUGAGUAACGCGUGAGGAACCUGCCUUACAGAGGGGGACAACAGUUGGAAACGACUGCUAAUACCGCAUGAUGUGGAGGGGAGACAUCUCCCUUUCACCAAAGGAGCAAUCCGCUGUAAGAUGGCCUCGCGUCUGAUUAGAUAGUUGGUGGGGUAACGGCCCACCAAGUCGACGAUCAGUAGCCGGACUGAGAGGUUGAACGGCCACAUUGGGACUGAGACACGGCCCAGACUCCUACGGGAGGCAGCAGUGGGGGAUAUUGCACAAUGGAGGAAACUCUGAUGCAGCAACGCCGCGUGAGGGAAGAAGGUUUUCGGAUUGUAAACCUCUGUUUUUAGUGAAGAAACAAAUGACGGUAGCUAAAGAGGAAGCCACGGCUAACUACGUGCCAGCAGCCGCGGUAAUACGUAGGUGGCAAGCGUUGUCCGGAAUUACUGGGUGUAAAGGGUGCGCAGGCGGGAUUGCAAGUUGGAUGUGAAAUACCGGGGCUUAACCCCGGAGCUGCAUCCAAAACUGUAGUUCUUGAGUGGAGUAGAGGUAAGCGGAAUUCCGAGUGUAGCGGUGAAAUGCGUAGAUAUUCGGAGGAACACCAGUGGCGAAGGCGGCUUACUGGGCUCUAACUGACGCUGAGGCACGAAAGCAUGGGUAGCAAACAGGAUUAGAUACCCUGGUAGUCCAUGCUGUAAACGAUGAAUGCUAGGUGUGGGGGGACUGACCCCUUCCGUGCCGGAGUAAACACAAUAAGCAUUCCACCUGGGGAGUACGACCGCAAGGUUGCAACUCAAAUGAAUUGACGG
rnacentral:rRNA from 1 species